rnacentral:rRNA from 1 species
AUAAACGCUGAAAGCAUCUAAGUGUGAAGCCCACCUCAAGAUGAGAUUUCCCAUUUCUUUAAGAAAGUAAGAUCCCUGAGAGAUGAUCAGGUAGAUAGGUCAGGAGUGGAAGUACAGUGAUGUAUGGAGCGGACUGAUACUAAUCGAUCGAGGACUUAACCACA